rnacentral:rRNA from 1 species
CUCAUAGCGUAUAUUAAGUUGUUGCAGUUAAAAAGCUCGUAGUUGAAUUUCGGGGUCAGUAGAUUGGUCAUGCCUCCGGUAUGUACUGGUCUUACUGGCUCCUCCUUCCUGAUGAACCGUAAUGCCAUUAAUUUGGUGUUGCGGGGAGACUGGACUGUUACUUUGAAAAA